UUACCUGGCCUUGACAUACUAAGAACUUUCCAGAGAUGGAUUGGUGCCUUCGGGAACUUAGAUACAGGUGCUGCAUGGCUGUCGUCAGCUCGUGUCGUGAGAUGUUGGGUUAAGUCCCGCAACGAGCGCAACCCUUUUCCUUAUUUGCCAGCGGGUUAAGCCGGGAACUUUAAGGAUACUGCCAGUGACAAACUGGAGGAAGGCGGGGACGACGUCAAGUCAUCAUGGCCCCUACGGCCAGGGCUACACACGUGCUACAAUGGUCGGUACAAAGGGUUGCUACCUCGCGAGAGGAUGCUAAUCUCAAAAAGCCGAUCGUAGUCCGGAUCGCAGUCUGCAACUCGACUGCGUGAAGUCGGAAUCGCUAGUAAUCGCGGAUCAGAAUGCCGCGGUGAAUACGUUCCCGGGCCUUGUACACACCGCCCGUCACACCAUGGGAGUUUGUUGCACCAGAAGUAGGUAGUCUAACCGCAAGGAGGACGCUUACCACGGUGUGGCCGAUGACUGGGGUGAAGUCGUAACAAGGUAAGCGUAGAUGA
rnacentral:rRNA from 1 species